rnacentral:lncRNA from 1 species
GCGUCUACGGGCAACAAAAUAUUAUAUUACAAUACACAUUGAUGAUAUUGCUUGAUCCAACACUGUGCAAGCGCAGACACAGAACCGGAAAAUAGAUAAUUCCAGCACGUUAUGAUAUCCAAGUUCACCGUCAAAGGUAUGAGAGCCCAGCGUUCCGGUGACAAGUUCCACAUCACACACACACUUGCUUGGAUCAAGCAUUUAGAUAAUUUUACAGCAACAACAAAUUUUUACAAAUAUUUUGAAUACAAACGCAAAAAAGACCAUCGAAACUGUUUUCGACCCAAACGCAAAGAUUCCAGCAUACCUUUUUCUGGCAGUCCAUCAAAGAAAGAUAUAUAGGAUAGCCAGUCUUGCAGUGACAAGUUUGAUAGCACCAGCAGGCUUGCUUUGGGUCACCAUCAAUCAGCCACCAGCCGUCAAAGUGGCAUUCUGAACGUUCUUUUUGGUACGCAUGCUUAAUGCUUGCCAUGGCGUUCUCUUUUCCCUCCUCCCUGAAACGCCUUGCCCCCUUGUUCACCCCAACAUGUCGUCUGUGUUAUUGAACAGCAUCCAAGCUACCAGUGAGGACACUCGAGUUCCCAUCUCCUGAAUGCCGCUACUGCUGAACUGCCGCCGUGAUCCAUGGCUGCAAGGUCUGCAACAUGACAGGAUGCAGUCGAUUGACAACCACCGCCAGGGGCACAACCACAGAUGAAAUUGACAAACCAAUGCAAAGCAUGAGGCUUAUGAAAAAACAUUGCAAUUGCCGAACAGUUUAAUUUAAACUGCUUUAGAACUCCUUCACAAACAAAACACUAAUCUUUAAUGACUUAAACUUGGUCGCACUCAAGACCAGGAAUGCUGUCCAUGUCGCCAUAAAAGAUUUCACCCGUCGGAUCGAGCGCGGACGGCACAGAUCAUCAAACAGAGGACGCGAUUUUCAAAAAACACCCCGAACUUUGUCUAAAUCGAACUGGCACUACAAACUUUGCCAAAAUCUAACCUGCAGCCCAGGUCGUCGAACAUAGGCCUAACGAUUUUUCAAAAAACAUGCCAAACUUUGUCGAAAUCGAACUAGUAGUCCAAAGGCCUCACAUAAUUUUUUCAAAAAAACCCAAACUUUGUCAAAAUCCAACCUGCAGUCUAGAUAGCCCCGGGAAUCUUUCAAAAAACCCCCGAACAUUGUCGGAAUCAAACCCGCCAUCCAAGGCAUCUCACACAAAAUUUUUAAAAAAACCCGUACUUUAUCGGAAUACAACCCGCAGUCCAUAGAUCUCUCUCACACAAUUUCCUAAGAAAACCCUCUACCUUUAACGAAAUUACCUUGCCAUCCAACCCACAAGUAAUAUAAAUAAAGAUGUAAAAAAAUGAUAGAGAUGCAAACUGAUAAUUGAUUAACUAAUAAAUUGACUGCCACUUUGCAAAAUAGAAACAAAAACAUAGAAAAAUGAUAGAGAUACAAAUUGAUAAUUUGUUACCUAAUAAAUCGAAUGUCACUUUGGCUUAUACGAUGCACCCAGACACUUUGAAACAUAGAAAAAUGAUAAAAAUAUAAGUUAGCUUUCGUUGACUUUGUUACAACUAGAGGUAUCCAAUAAAAAAAUUAAAUCUAGCAAAAAAAAAACAAAAUACAACAUCUCGAUACGUGCAUGAAUUUAUUUAUAAGAUACUUUUCAAAGUCCACUCUUUGAUAUUGCAUAAAUAUUGUGGGCUCCAUUUAACCAUAAAAAUAUAAAUUCCAAACCAAAUAGAUGGAGGGCACUGUUCUAGUAUGAACAUGCAUCACAAGCACCCAUCUUUCUACCAAUGUUGCGUGACAACAAGCUCACAUAUUUUUUCUCAUACAAAAUAAACUGACACAAGUUCAACAAUUAGCUAGAAAAGUAAACUAUGAUGGCAGGAUAUCAGGACUCCCUAGCUGCAUAUCUUAUUUCUAAACAUUGACAUUAAAAACGAGAAUCAAAUUACUUUUCACAGUGUUGUGCUAAACAAUUAGUUAAGUAUAGGUGGGCAAAGUGCAAAAAAAAAAGAUUUCUAACCUGAACAUCAGCCUCGCCUUUAGGAUAGGAUCUGAAACAAUGGUAGUCAGAGGGAACCUAUAGGAACAAAACAAAAUGGGACUUGAGUUUGUGAUGCAAAUGCAACAUGAUCAGAAAAAAAAUGAAGCAAAGGAUAAGAUUAAUUACGAUGGCAUUGAUCUAUUCCCUCCAUCCCAAAAUACUAUUCGUUUUGAUUUUUCUAGAUACAUGCCUUUUGCUAUGCACCUAGAAAAACCAAAAUGAAUAGUAAUUUAGGACAGAGGGAGGAACUUGAACUGUUCAGAUUGCUCACUAAAGAACAAACAUAUUUUAUGCCAGAACAAACAUACCCUCCCUCUAUAUCCACUCCUCUAUCAUCCAUGUCUCCAAAUAAUAAAAUGAAGAUUAGCCCUUGGUUUUUGACAUUUUCAAAAAGAAAAUAAUAUUACCUUGUAACACCAGAAAUUUCACAUCCCAGAGCAUUAAAAAUGGAAAGUAGAAUCUAUAGCGACAUUUCAUCAGAAAAUUUGCUGCUCCCUUCCUAUCUAGCGCACUGCCCAUUGGCUCAACAGUUUGACACAGUUUAACAGUGUAACUAACAAUUCAAGUCCAGCAUUCUCCAGAAAGUCACAAUUUUCACUUAGGCACGAGAUUGUAGCAGAUGCUCUGGGCAGAUUGAUAUAUAUAUUAAGGUUCAAAGAAAAUGGUAAGCUUAUAAGGAAUUAAAGAGAUGACCUCCUCCUCCUGCUGCUGCUAAUGGAGCCAUCUCCGAUCACCAGAGCUGCCUGAAAUGCACAAUCAUCAAAUAAGCUAAAAUUAUAUAUUAGUUUAAGUAGAUCAAUGUAACUGAAAAUUUGAGCUAUUACACUGUCACCUCUGACCUAAAACUCUUGGGGAAAACCAUACUAAUUUCCUGUCUUCUAAUCUUUGCUUGAAAAUUCAACUUUAUUUAUGAGUAGAAGAAUACAAGAAAAACAAUACAACAUAUACAAGAUAAUAAGACUACAAUCACAAGAUAACAAGACCGGAAGUAUUAAUCAGAAGUAGUAGUAGUUUAUAGAAAUAAAAACAGUAGACCUCAAGUAUUAACCACAAGAUAACAAGACUAUAAUCACAAGAUAACAAGAUCAGAAGUAUUAAUCAGAAGAAGUGGUAGUAGUAGUUUACAGAAAUAAAAACAGAAGUCCUCAAGUAUUAGUCACAAGGUAAUAAGAACAGAAGUAUUAAUCAGAAGUAGUAGUAGUAGCAUUAAUCAAAGCACAAGACAUAGAUCAAAAGACAUAGUUUGCAGAUAUUACAUAUCACAAGAUCACAGGACUACAGGAGCAUACGGAUCACAAGAUCACAGGAGCACAGGAGCACACCUGGACCACACCCUCGAGCCCUUCACCGUUGACGUCGUCGCCUCGGCAGCUCCAUUCCUCAACGAUGCGUAGCCCCCAACGGAGACCUGCAAGAGGAGGAUCAGAACUUAGAAGAGGAACGAGAGGAGGAUCAGAAGAAGAGGAACGAGAUUACGAGAUUACCUAUGCAGCCGGAGCCCGGAGCCGGAGAAGACGAAUGCCAAUGGCGGGGAACCAGGGAGGGAGGCGGAUCUGCGAGGGGAGGAGCGGUUUCGAUGAGGGAACCAGAGAGGGAGGCGGAUCUGCGAGGAGUCGGAGGGAGGAGUGGUUACGGGGAGCCGGGGAGGGAGGUGGAGGGGCUAGGGGAGGAGCGGUUACGGGGAGGGAGGCGGAGGGGCUACCGGCAAGCUGGCGGCGGGCGAGGACGGCGGAUCUGUGAGGGGAGGGGCGGUUACAGGGAGGGAGGCGGAGGGGCGAGGGAUGGAGGGAGCGCGGUUCGAAGGG